rnacentral:misc_RNA from 1 species
AAGUCGUAACAAGGUUUCCGUAGGUGAACCUGCGGAAGGAUCAUUAACGAAUAACUAUGGUGUUGGUUGUAGCUGGCUCCUCGGAGCAAUGUGCACGCCCGCCAUUUUUAUCUUUCCACCUGUGCACCGACUGUAGGUCUGGAUACCUCUCGCCUCCCUUCUUCUUAGGAAGAGGGUUAAAGCGGAUGCGGGGAUUGCUCGCAAGGGCUCUCCUCGAACUUCCAGGCUCUACGUCUUUUUACACACCCCAAUCGUAUGAUACAGAAUGAUAGUCAAUGGGCUUUCAUAGCCUAUAAAAACACUAUACAACUUUCAGCAACGGAUCUCUUGGCUCUC